rnacentral:rRNA from 1 species
UGAACGCUGGCGGCAUGCUUUACACAUGCAAGUCGAACGGCAGCGCGGGCUUCGGCCUGGCGGCGAGUGGCGAACGGGGGAGUAAUGCAUCGGAACGUGCCCAGUAGUGGGGGAUAGCCCGGCGAAAGCCGGAUUAAUACCGCAUACGACCUGAGGGUGAAAGCGGGGGACCGAAAGGCCUCGCGCGAUUGGAGCGGCCGAUGUCGGAUUAGCUAGUUGGUGGGGUAAAGGCUUACCAAGGCGACGAUCCGUAGCUGGUCUGAGAGGACGACCAGCCACACUGGGACUGAGACACGGCCCAGACUCCUACGGGAGGCAGCAGUGGGGAAUUUUGGACAAUGGGGGCAACCCUGAUCCAGCCAUGCCGCGUGCGGGAAGAAGGCCUUCGGGUUGUAAACCGCUUUUGUUCGGGAAGAAAUCCUCUGGGCUAAUACCCCGGGGGGAUGACGGUACCGGAAGAAUAAGCACCGGCUAACUACGUG